rnacentral:rRNA from 1 species
AAUGAACGCUGGCGGCGCGCCUAAUACAUGCAAGUCGAGCGAGAAGACGUAGCAAUACGUUUGUAAAGCGGCGAACGGGUGAGGAAUACAUGGGUAACCUACCCUAGAGUGGGGAAUAACUAGCCGAAAGGUUAGCUAAUACCGCGUACGCUCCUUGGACUUCGGUUCAGGGAGGAAAGCGAUACCGAGGGUAUCGCGCUCUUGGAUGGGCUCAUGUCCUAUCAGCUUGNGGUGAGGUAACGGCUCACCAAGGCUUCGACGGGUAGCUGGUCUGAGAGGACGAUCA